rnacentral:tRNA from 1 species
GAUGGUGAAAUGGUUAUCAUGCUUGCCUUCCAAGCAAGCGGUGGGGGUUCGAUUCCCCCACUACCG